UGUUUUUGUGGCGUCUUUUCAAAUAUUGUGACUGUUCCUAGGCUUAGGCUGGGAUUAAACACAGUUUAUAUGCCGCAUUUUUCAAAUCACACAUUGCUUUAUCUUUGGUGUCCACCCCCCAUGUCAGGGCAUGCUGGGAGUUGUAGUUUUGUAACAGGUGGACAGCCACAAGGGAUAACUGAUGCAGUAUGUCAAUCUAGGGCCAUGGUGUCUGAUCUUGAACUGGCAGCAGGAGCCACGACCACUUUAAAUCAAUGGCUGCCGGGACGUCUGACGAGUUACAUCCUACGCUGCAGACCCCAACGUCAGGGACGUCACUCGUCAGACACCAAGGCUGUUGGGGCCACAAAAUGAUAUUACAAAUACUAAGCGUCUGGUUAGGAGAAACAAAUAUAACGCACCCAUAGGGAGUAGCGCCAUUUUAAUAAAAAAUGCAAAAAAAAAAUCCCUUAGAUAACAGUCAUACAGAAUAUAUUAGAAAGCUUUUUUGAUUUUCAGCCAAUCAGAGAGCAGCACUGCUCAAAUAGAACUCCCAGGAGGUAACAGCGUGUCACACAUGUGAUGUCAUAACCAUUGUCCACCAGAGAGCAGCACUGAGCAGAUAUAACACUGCUCCUGCUCAUUCUCCAUCAGUGAGGGGCCGGUGCUGGACACUGUAGGGACGCGGGAAUGUGAAGUCAAAAACAUGACUGUGACUGAUGCACUAUUUCCAGCAUGUGGAGUAGCAUUUCCGGACUUAGAGCAAGAAGUUGGAUGAUGGCCUAGAUUUCCGGACCUACAGCAAGACGUUGGAUGAUGGCCUAGAUUUCCGGACCUACAGCAAGAAGUUGGAUGAAGGCCUAGAUUUCCGGACCUACAGCAAGAAGUUGGAUGAAGGCACAGCCCCUCGAAUCACGAACAUACACUGACACAUUGGCCCAAAUUCUAGAGGUAACCUCCUUUAGUAUGCCCAGAGGAAGGGCAGUACAGUAGCCAUGGAUUCCCUACAGGUUUCCUCCCCUCUGGAGGUUUUUCCUGUCCUGAGUUAGUUACUGUACGCUCUUUGUGAGUGAUGGGAGGUUACAUAAAUCCCUACACAAACACUUUAAUAAAUAAUAAAUAAAGUUUCCCUUUUUUUUAAA